ensembl:lincRNA Gm2694 predicted gene 2694
GGGGCAGCGGGGCUGGGCUCCGGCCGGGAGUCAGACGAGGGAGCGCGCGCGCGCUCCCGGACAGUUCUCCGCAGCCGCUCGCCCGAGCCUUCUACUUGGCCAACACAGCUGCCUCUACCACCUCGCGUGCCCGGUUCGUGGGCUUUCAGUUACCAAGCAUGUCCUGAAGAUGAAGAUACUCUCAGCCUAACGUCUCCAAGCAAAUAUUGAUUCAGCAGUAUCCCCAGGCAAAGCCACACCAUAUAUCAGUGAACAGAGAAACAACUGCCCUUCUCCGGGCCCCUGUCUGAGAAGCUGGAGCAUCAGCCCUGGAGCUCUCCGGAGCAGUUUCCUUGCUCACUGUCCCCAGCUGGACACAGGACCAGAGGGGAUACUGCCUGCUCAGGAAAGCCAAGAGGAGCCUGCCUCGACUGAAAUGUAAAAAGUACACUGUGCAUAUGGAAAGCAUUAUUGUGUUUCACUGUGUAUCGCCAGAUUCUUCUUGCAAAACAUUGAAGCUUAGCUCAUAAUUUGGUGAUAAAAUAUUGAUUAUUUAUCCACAGCCGCAUGCAGAGGUCCAAAGCACGUAAACAGGAUACCCACCCUGCAUUAUCUUAUAUUUUAAGUCAAUAUGAAGAUGGACAUUCUACCCCUGAGACCAAUUUCGAUCAAAUACUUUUGUCAAUAAAAAGAUACUAAUGUC